AGUAACACGUGGGAAACCUGCCCAGAAGCGGGGGAUAACACCUGGAAACAGAUGCUAAUACCGCAUAACAACUUGGACCGCAUGGUCCGAGUUUGAAAGAUGGCUUCGGCUAUCACUUUUGGAUGGUCCCGCGGCGUAUUAGCUAGAUGGUGGGGUAACGGCUCACCAUGGCGAUGAUACGUAGCCGACCUGAGAGGGUAAUCGGCCACAUUGGGACUGAGACACGGCCCAAACUCCUACGGGAGGCAGCAGUAGGGAAUCUUCCACAAUGGACGAAAGUCUGAUGGAGCAACGCCGCGUGAGUGAAGAAGGGUUUCGGCUCGUAAAACUCUGUUGUUAAAGAAGAACAUAUCUGAGAGUAACUGUUCAGGUAUUGACGGUAUUUAACCAGAAAGCCACGGCUAACUACGUGCCAGCAGCCGCGGUAAUACGUAGGUGGCAAGCGUUGUCCGGAUUUAUUGGGCGUAAAGCGAGCGCAGGCGGUUUUUUAAGUCUGAUGUGAAAGCCUUCGGCUCAACCGAAGAAGUGCAUCGGAAACUGGGAAACUUGAGUGCAGAAGAGGACAGUGGAACUCCAUGUGUA
rnacentral:rRNA from 2 species